rnacentral:rRNA from 1 species
GGGGGGGGGGGGGGGGGGGGGGGGGGGGGGGGGGGGGGGGGGGGGGGGGGGGGGGGGGGUGGGGGGGCGGGGGCGGCGGACGGGGGGGUGACGCGGGGGUAGCCUGCCGAUGAGACUGGGGGAACGGCGGGAAACCGGGGCUAAUACCGGGUAAUAUGUUGAACCGCAUGGUUCAAUAGUGAAAGACGGUUUUGCUGGCGGUUGUGGAUGGAUCCGCGGCGUAUUAGCUAGUUGGUAAGGUAGUGGCUUACCAAGGCAACGAUGGGUAGCCGGCCUGGGAGGGUGACCGGCCACCAUGGGACUGAGAGACGGCCCAGACGCCUACGGGAGGCAGCAGUGGGGAAUAUUGCAGAAUGGGCGGGAGCCUGAUGCGGCAACGCCGCGUGCGGGAUGACGGCCUUCGGGGUGUAAACCGCUUUCGCCGGUGACGAAGCGGGAGUGACGGUAAUGGGUAAAGAAGCACCGGCUAACUACGUG